rnacentral:rRNA from 1 species
GACGAACGCUGGCGGCGUGCUUAACACAUGCAAGUCGAACGGAAAGGCCCUGCUUUUGUGGGGUGCUCGAGUGGCGAACGGGUGAGUAACACGUGAGUAACCUGCCCUUGACUUUGGGAUAACUUCAGGAAACUGGGGCUAAUACCGGAUAGGAGCUCCUGCUGCAUGGUGGGGGUUGGAAAGUUUCGGCGGUUGGGGAUGGGCUCGCGGCUUAUCAGCUUGUUGGUGGGGUAGUGGCUUACCAAGGCUUUGACGGGUGGCCGGCCUGAGAGGGUGACCGGCCACAUUGGGACUGAGAUACGGCCCAGACUCCUACGGGAGGCAGCAGUGGGGAAUAUUGCACAAUGGGCGGAAGCCUGAUGCAGCAACGCCGCGUGCGGGAUGACGGCCUUCGGGUUGUAAACCGCUUUCGCCUGUGACGAAGCGUGAGUGACGGUAAUGGGUAAAGAAGCACCGGCUAACUACGUG